rnacentral:rRNA from 1 species
GAUGAACGCUGGCGGCGUGCCUAAUACAUGCAAGUCGAGCGAACGGACGAGAAGCUUGCUUCUCUGAUGUUAGCGGCGGACGGGUGAGUAACACGUGGAUAACCUACCUAUAAGACUGGGAUAACUUCGGGAAACCGGAGCUAAUACCGGAUAAUAUUUUGAACCGCAUGGUUCAAAAGUGAAAGACGGUCUUGCUGUCACUUAUAGAUGGAUCCGCGCUGCAUUAGCUAGUUGGUAAGGUAACGGCUUACCAAGGCAGCGAUGCAUAGCCGACCUGAGAGGGUGAUCGGCCACACUGGAACUGAGACACGGUCCAGACUCCUACGGGAGGCAGCAGUAGGGAAUCUUCCGCAAGGGGCGAAAGCCUGACGGAGCAACGCCGCGUGAGUGAUGAAGGUCUUCGGAUCGUAAAACUCUGUUAUUAGGGAAGAACGUAUGUGUAAGUAACUGUGCACAUCUUGACGGUACCUAAUCAGAAAGCCACGGCUAACUACGUG